GACGAACGCUGGCGGCGUGCCUAACACAUGCAAGUCGAACGCAAUCUCGUUUAGAUCGUAGGAGUACGCUCCUGAUUGAUCAACAGUUUAGUGAGUGGCGGACGGUCGAGUAAUACGUGGGUAAUCUGCCAUAAAGUGGUAGAUAACAAUUGGAAACAGAUGCCAAUACAGCAUAAAACCUAUCACCGCAUGGUGUAGGGGUGUAAGAUGGUUUCGGCUUUCACUGUAGGAUGGACACGCGGUGCAUUAGCUAGUUGGUGGGGUAAAGGCUCACCAAGGCGGCGAUGCAUAGCCGGCCUGAGAGGAUGAUCAGCCACACUGGAACUGAGACACGGCCCAGACUCCUACGGGAGGCAGCAGUAGGGAAUCUUCGACAAAGGGCGAAAGCCUGAUGGAGCAACGCCGCGUGAGUGAAGAAGGUCUUCGGAUCGUAAAGCUCUGUUGUUGGGGAAGAAUGGAUGUGAUAGUAACUGCUCAUGUAGUGACGGUACCCAAACAGAAAGCCACGGCUAACUACGUG
rnacentral:rRNA from 1 species